rnacentral:lncRNA from 1 species
AGACUCCUUAGGAAUCACAAGAGUUGCCGGCUUUUGUGGUUUCCUGUGGAUAAAGUCUCGUAAAAUGCAAAAGUCAAUCUGCUUGGCUAGACAAAAAAGACAGACUGUCCGCUUGGGGUUUGCGUUUCUCUUUAGUGCGUGUGAGCCUUGAGUGCUUAAGUUUGUCCCACAUCGAACUUGGGAGGGGGAUUUGGGUAGUUUAUUAGGCUCCUCAAGAACCACAAGAGUUGCCGAUUUUUGUGGUUUCCUGUGGAUAAAGUCUCGUAAAAUGCAAAAGUCAAUCUGCUUGGCUAGACAAAAAAAAAAAAAAAGUACAUUCUUUGUGCCUCCAAUACUGCUCAUUUAUUACUGAUAUCUACCUUGUAUAUAAAAAGAAAACCAAGUUAUUGUAGUUAAUCAUUUU